rnacentral:lncRNA from 1 species
ACACCACCACACCCGGCUAAAUAUUGUAUUUUUUGUAGAGAUAGGGUUUCACCAUGUUGGCCAGGCCUAGACCAUUUACUUUUUAUUUUAUUAUUCAUUUAUUUAUUUUGAGACAGAGUCUCGCUCUGUCACCCAGGCUGGAGUACAGUGGAGCGAUCCACCAACCUCUGCCUCCCAAGGUGCUGGGAUUACAGUCAUGAGCCACCGCAUCCAGCCUGAACUCAUUGUAUUUAUUGUAGUUUCUUAAAUAGAUGGAGUGUGUAUGUGGAGAAUCAGAAAUACACUACUUUUAGGUUCUUUUUUUUGGGAGGGUGGGGAGUGGGGAUAGGGUCUUGCUCUGUUGCCCAGGCUGCAAGCAAGGUGUCAGCCAGGGCUGCGGUCACCGCGAGGCUGGAAUGGGGAAAGAGCCACUUCCACCCUCACUCGUGUUGCUGGGUGCCUUUGGUUCUUUGCCACGGGGCCUCUUUCUAGGGCAGCUCUUGAUAUAGUAUUAGGGUGAGCAAGUGAGCAGGAGAGAGCAGAGGAAAGAGUCAGAGACAGAGGGACCCAGCAAGCCCCAGUCUUGAUCACCUAGUCUCAGAAGUAACCCCCAUCAGCUGUGCCCUGUUCUCUUGGGUGGAAGCAGGCAGUGAGUCCAGCCCACACACAGGGCCAGGGGUUCCACAAGGCUAUGAAGGCCAGGAGGCAGGGGAUCUUGGAGAGCCGUUUUGGAAGCUGCCUAACACCGAGACGUUACCUCAUUUCACAGCCAUAGCCACCCCAUGAGGGAGGUGCUACCAUCCCCACCUCACAGGUGAAGAAAUUAAAGCACAGAGAGGGUGGACAUCUCCCCAGGGCCCCAGAGCUAGCCAACUGUGGAGCUGGGAGUCCACCCAGCAGGCUGGCUCCAGGCCCUGCUCUCAGCCGAAGCCUGGGAGGAGGAGGAGGAGUGGCAGGCGGCGCUGGGGCCCGGGCGGGUGCAGCUGAGCCCUGCCACCUGCUGAAGCAUCACCGGAUUCCCUAGGCCGUGCAUCAGUUGAGACAGAGGUGGCCAUGUCAGAACCAUAGUUGACUUCCAUGAAAACCAAAAUCCAAACUUGAGCAGCGUCAAGAUGGCAUUCGGAAAAGCAGUCUGAGAGCAGGGGCUCCAUCUGCCUCGCUCAGCCCUGUGCACCCUGGCCAGGCAGGGCCUGGCCACAGAAAGCAAACAUUCGCUGGCAGCUAGUCAGGAGAGUCCCCAACCCUGUCCUAGGCAGCUCCAGAGCUGUAUUUCUUCUUUCUUUUUCUUUUACUUUUUUUUUUUUUUUCUUGAGACAGGGUCUCGCUCUGUUGCCCAGGCUGGAGUGCAAUGGCACGAUCAUGGCUCACUGCAGCCUCGACCUCCCGAGCUAGAGUUAUCCUUCCACUUGGGAUCCUCAGCUUUCUGAGUAGCUGCGGCUACAGACAUGUGGCAUCACACUCGGCUAAUUUUUUAAGUUUUUUGUGGAGACGAGGUCUCAUUAUAUUGCCUAGGCUAGACACCUAGAUUUCUAAAGCCCAGAUCUGACCACAUCGUCCUUGCUCUACAAUGGUGACUUCUCCCUGCCUAGGACCCAGUCUGAGCUCUGCCUGUCUGCCCUACCUCGUCACCCACGUCUCCAUCCUUGCCCGUUUUGUGCCUCCAGUGCACCCCAGCUCACCUUUACGUCGGCCCCACUCUGUUUACUCUGCUUCCAUGGCCAACAGUGGCCCCUUCAGCCCAGGGACUCUGUCUUAUUCAGCUUUAUGUUUCAGGGACUGGGGACCUGAGUGUGGAGCCUGAAGCUCCCAUAGCAUCUGUACAGAAUGGGGAAUGAAGGGAAGAGGGGCCUCUGCUUCAGGGGAUGGUGUGGGGAGCCACUGCUCAUCCUCUGUACCUAGAAGAGGGAGGAGGGAGGAGGAGGAGGAGGAGGAGGAGGGGGAGGAGGGGGAGGCUUUGCUAAAGUUACCAGGCCAUGAGGGCGCUACAGUGAGGGGAUCUAAAUCUUGCGUUUUGUUUGUUUGUUUGUUUGUUUUUUUGAGAUGGAGUUUUGCUCUUGUUGCCCAGGCUGGAGUGCA